UACAGAGGUCCCAAGCGUUGUUCGGAUUCACUGGGCGUAAAGGGUGCGUAGGCGGUUGGGUAAGUUUGACGUGAAAUCUCCGGGCCUAACCCGGAAACUGCGUUGAAUACUAUCCGGCUAGAGGAAUGGAGGGGAGACUGGAAUACUUGGUGUAGCAGUGAAAUGCGUAGAUAUCAAGUGGAACACCAGUGGCGAAGGCGAGUCUCUGGACAUUUCCUGACGCUGAGGCACGAAAGCCAGGGGAGCAAACGGG
rnacentral:rRNA from 1 species